AACGAACGCUGGCGGCAGGCCUAACACAUGCAAGUCGAGCGGACAUCUUCGGAUGUUAGCGGCGGACGGGUGAGUAACGCGUGGGAACGUGCCCUUUGCUUCGGAAUAGCCUCGGGAAACUGGGAGUAAUACCGGAUGUACCCUUUGGGGGAAAGAUUUAUCGGCAAAGGAUCGGCCCGCGUUGGAUUAGGUAGUUGGUGGGGUAAUGGCCUACCAAGCCGACGAUCCAUAGCUGGUUUGAGAGGAUGAUCAGCCACACUGGGACUGAGACACGGCCCAGACUCCUACGGGAGGCAGCAGUGGGGAAUCUUAGACAAUGGGGGAAACCCUGAUCUAGCCAUGCCGCGUGAGCGAUGAAGGCCUUAGGGUUGUAAAGCUCUUUCAGCUGGGAAGAUAAUGACGGUACCAGCAGAAGAAGCCCCGGCUAACUCCGUG
rnacentral:rRNA from 1 species